rnacentral:rRNA from 1 species
AGAGUUUGAUCAUGGCUCAGGAUGAACGCUAGCUACAGGCUUAACACAUGCAAGUCGAGGGGAAACGACAUCGAAAGCUUGCUUUUGAUGGGCGUCGACCGGCGCACGGGUGAGUAACGCGUAUCCAACCUGCCCAUCACUUGGGGAUAACCUUGCGAAAGUAAGACUAAUACCCAAUGAUAUCUCUAGAAGGCAUCUGAAAGAGAUUAAAGAUUUAUCGGUGAUGGAUGGGGAUGCGUCUGAUUAGCUUGUUGGCGGGCAACGGCCACAAGCAACGAUCGAGUAGGGGUUCUGAGACGGAACGGUCCCCANAUUGGAACUGAGACACGGUCCAAACUCGUACGGGAGCA